rnacentral:rRNA from 1 species
GUGAGUAACGCGUGGGAACCUGCCCUNGGAGUGAGGGAUAACCCUGGCGAAAGCCGGGCUAAUACCGCAUACGCCCUACGGGGGAAAGAUUUAUCGCUCUAGGAGGGGCCCGCGUCGGAUUAGCUAGUUGGUGGGGUAACGGCCUACCAAGGCGAUGAUCCGUAGCUGGUCUGAGAGGAUGAUCAGCCACACUGGGACUGAGACACGGCCCAGACUCCAUACGGGAGGCAGCAGUAGGGAAUAUUGGACAAUGGGGGCAACCCUGAUCCAGCAAUGCCGCGUGAGUGAUGAAGGCCUUCGGGUUGUAAAGCUCUUUCGGCGGGGACGAUGAUGACGGUACCCGCAGAAGAAGCCCCGGCUAACUUCGUGCCAGCCGCCGCGG